UGCCCUGCUGUCGGUUCUGCCGUGUGGGGGAGUGAGGCCUGGUGAGGCCUUGCCUUGUGGACCUUGAGAGGCAGAGGGUGCUGGCAUCAUUCAGUGUGAUUUCUGCCUGUUUCCCAGAGGGAGGGGUGAAGUCACCUGUGGUUGAGAAGGGAGAAAACCUGAUUUUAGCAAUGAGACCCCUCAUGUGCAGCUGAAAUGAGCAGAAAUACAAGCUUUUACUGUCUCUAAAACACUCAUUUAAUCCUCACACACACACACUCUAUUUCUGCUUUCUGAGAGAACACACUUCCUCAUGCUGAGUUUGUAUCAUCUUAUGAAGUGCCACAGCUACCUCUCACCCAGCUUCAGGUCCUCAUGAAUAUUAAAACAAAGGAGAUCAUGGGAAGGAAAGUGGAAUAUUUGAAAGGACAUUUGAGGAAAUCCUCUUAAGAAUUACUGAAAAUAUCUCAUAAUAAUAAGAAGAAAACCAGGUCACAUCCUUCCUGUUUCUUGUUCCUCAUUUCAAAUAAAAUAUUUAUUUUAAGUAGUUUAAUAAAGAAAACAGAAGCAAGAACCAAGAAAAGUCUUUAAUUUCUGAGAAAAUAUAGUUCCUUCAGCACUUGAGAGGAUUUUGUCUUAACACAAAGGAAGGAGCUGGGAUGAAGGACAGAAGGAGAGAAUCCGAAGAGAAAACGAGUUUGGAAGAUAGAUGAUUUUACUUGAAUUCUGACACAUAAGGGAUUUUGUUAACUUCACAGAGUGCAGGUAGAGACACUGAGGCAUGUCUUUAAUGAAGAAAAACAAAUAAACAAACAAAAAACCCAAAUAAAAACCCACAAAAAACAAACAUACAAAAAGAGUCAGAAAAAAAAAUAAAACCCCACAAAAACCAAACACAAAAAAACUAACCAACUAACCAAAAACAACAAAAAAAGAAAAAAUCCACAAAUACCAAAAAAACACCAAAUGACAUAAGCAGAGCCAUACUGCCCUGUACCUAUUACAGUAGUUUUAGCAGUAAUGUGUCCAGAGAGGGCUAUUUGCUGAAAUAUUUUGCCUCAUUUGAAACACCUGCAGGGAUGUGAAGCCAUUUAGUCCUGCUUUCAUUAUGUCAUUUUCCUCCCAUCUUUCCCACAGAGUAUUUGCUUUGUGUCAUCCACAGUUUUACCAAACCCUGAAUGUAGACUGGGCUCCACAGAGUCAUUGUGAGCCAGGGGACAGAUGACUGUGAUUUUGGGAUUAUCAUUAUUUUCCUUAUUGUUUAUAUGUAGAGGCAUCAACUGAAAUCAAAAUCUCUCAGUAAGAUCACAGGAGAUGGAAUUUUCCAGGAUACUAAUUAAACAAGACAGAGGUAGCAAAGUGGAGAAAGAGAUCACAUAAGAUCUCUCAGUGGUAGGUUGGGGGAAGAAGCCAGAAAAAAUUUACGUUUUCUGUAUUGCAGCUCAGUGUCAUCUCCACUACAAUUAAAUAACAAAGGAACCUUGAUUUCUUAAUGCUGCAGCUUUAACUUUUCAAUGAUGACCAAAGGGAACAUCUUAUGCAUCCUUUCACAAGAAGCUGCCCACGCACCACUUUGUAACUCAUUCUGGAGACAUGGAAUGGAUAGAAAACUUAUUUUCCCCCCAUCUUUCAGAUUUUUGAAAAUCACUUAUCUCCUGUAUAAAGAAAAAUUUUAUUUCCCAUCCUGCCCCUCAGAAUUCCUCCUCUCUCUUCCUACUCUUUUCCUGGUUAUCUGUAGUUCUUGUAAGAAAUGGAACCUGUAAGUUCAGAUUUGGCUAAAAAAUGCAGACACGGUAUUACUGUAACUACAGUUGUUCACAGACAGAGGUGAAAUCAUCUUCAGGUACAACAUUUUUAUAGUGUCUAGGAGAAUAUUUACUCCACAUUCAUCUGGCAACAUCUCCAGAAAUGCUGUGGCUAUUCAUUUUAUCAGUUUUACUCAAAAUAUCAGUAAUAUAGUAGUGCUUUAAAUAAUCAG